rnacentral:lncRNA from 1 species
CUCAUACUCAAUAUUCCUAGUACCACUUAUUAAUAGGCCAUUUCCCCACAAGCCUAUAAUCCAGAUUCUGUCAGAACCAAUACUUUAAUUUAUUCAGGAUGGUACCUGGGCUCUCUGUUCUGUCAUACUGCAUUUGUCUAUCUUUGUUCUACUACUUCAGGUCUUAAUACUAUAGCAUUAUAAGUCAUCUGGAAUGGCAAGAAUUCAUAAAAGAUAGAUACAAAUCUUUUCAAGUUUUACAAAAAGCUGUUGUUAGAAUUUUGGUCGGAAUCAUCUGACAUUAUAGACUUUAAUGGGGAAAAUGGCAUCUUUAUAAUAUUGAGUCUUCCCAUCUAUGAACAUAGUAAAAAUUUACAUUUGCACAUAUUUUAUUUGUUUCUUCCUGAGUGGUUUUAGAAUAUCCUCCCUGGAGGUUUUAUGUGUAUGUGAACACACACAUAACACAUGAGUAUAUAUUGUAUGCAUUUUUAAAAUUAGAUAAAUACUGUCUUUUAAAAGGUUAUUGUUAUGGUUUGGAUAUGAGAUAUCUCCUGAAAAGCUCAUGUGAUAAUGCAGGAAUGUUCAGAGGUGAAAUGAUCAGAUUAUAAGACUCAUAACCUAAUCAGUGGAUCAAUCCAUUUGAUAGUUAAUAAUUCAAACUAGAGACAAGUGAGGUGUGACUGGAGGAAGCAGGUCGCUGGAGGCAUGCCAUUGAAAAUUAGAUUUUGUCCCUGGCUCCUCUCUCUCUCUUUCUCUCGCUCUCCUCCAGCAGCCACAAGCUGAACAGCUUUCCUCCACACCUUUCCACCAUGAUGUUGUAGCUUAUCUUUGGUCCAGAGCAAUGGCGUCAACCGAGCAUAGACUGAGACCCCUGUAAGAAGACCCCUGUAAGAAGAAAGUGGUGGGGACAAACAUAUGUCAUUCUGGGUAGAUAAUUUUUAACUGUGAGGCCAAAAUAAACUUUUCUUCCUGUAAGUUGUUCUUGUAAGCUAUUUUGUCCCAGUGACAAGAAUCUGACAAAUAUUAUCUACUGGUUUUUCAAUUUGUAUGAAUUCUUUUGACAAAUAGGGUUUUGAACUCAGGGGCACAGUUACUCACUCAGUCUAUGUAUUUAUUUAAUCCUAAUGAACAGUUGGCUUCUGUGUAUUGAUGUUACUCAAUAUUGAAGUGUAUUCAGUCACCUUAUGAUUUCAUUAAUAAUAACUUG